ACGGUAAGGCCCUUCGGGGUACACGAGUGGCGAACGGGUGAGUAACGCGUGAGUAACCUGCCCUUCACUCUGGGAUAACAGUUGGAAACGGCUGCUAAUACCGGAUAUUCAGCUCCUGUCGCAUGGUGGGGGUUGGAAAGUUUUGGUGGUGGAGGAUGGGCUCGCGUCCUAUCAGCUUGUUGGUGGGGUGAUGGCCUACCAAGGCGUCGACGGGUAGCCGGCCUGAGAGGGCGACCGGCCACAUUGGGACUGAGAUACGGCCCAAACUCCUACGGGAGGCAGCAGUGGGGAAUAUUGCACAAUGGGCGGAAGCCUGAUGCAGCAACGCCGCGUGCGGGAUGACGGCCUUCGGGUUGUAAAGCUCUGUCUUCAGGGACGAUAAUGACGGUACCCAAGGAGGAAGCCACGGCUAACUACGUGCCAGCAGCCGCGGUAAUACGUAGGUGGCAAGCGUUGUCCGGAUUUACUAGGCGUAAAGGGAGCGUAGGCGGAUAUUUAAGUGGGAUGUGAAAUACCUGGGCUUAACUUGGGUGCUGCAUUCCAAACUGGAUAUCUGGAGUGUUGGAGAGGAAAGUGGAAUUCCUAGUGUAGCGGUGAAAUGCGUAGAGAUUAGGAAGAACACCAGUGGCGAAGGCGACUUUCUGGACAAUAACUGACGCUGAGGCUCGAAAGCGUGGGGAGCAAACAGGAUUAGAUACCCUGGUAGUCCACGCCGUAAACGAUGGGUACUAGGUGUAGGGGGGUAUCGACUCCCCCUGUGCCGCCGUAACACAAUAAGUACCCCGCCUGGGG
rnacentral:rRNA from 1 species